GAUGAACGCUGGCGGCGUGCCUAAUACAUGCAAGUCGAGCGAACAGACGAGGAGCUUGCUCCUCUGACGUUAGCGGCGGACGGGUGAGUAACACGUGGAUAACCUACCUAUAAGACUGGGAUAACUUCGGGAAACCGGAGCUAAUACCGGAUAAUAUAUUGAACCGCAUGGUUCAAUAGUGAAAGACGGUUUUGCUGUCACUUAUAGAUGGAUCCGCGCCGCAUUAGCUAGUUGGUAAGGUAACGGCUUACCAAGGCGACGAUGCGUAGCCGACCUGAGAGGGGGAUCGGCCACACUGGAACUGAGACACGGGCCAGACUCCUACGGGAGGCAGCAGUAGGGAAUCUUCCGCAAUGGGCGGAAGCCUGACGGAGCAACGCCGCGUGGGUUAUGAAGGUCUUCCGAUCGUAAAACUCUGUUAUUAGGGAAGAACAAAUGUGCAAGUAACUAUGCACGUCUUGACGGUACCUAAUCAGAAAGCCACGGCUAACUACGUG
rnacentral:rRNA from 1 species